UACGUAGGUCCCGAGCGUUGUCCGGAUUUAUUGGGCGUAAAGGGAACGCAGGCGGUCUUUUAAGUCUGAUGUGAAAGCCUUCGGCUUAACCGGAGUAGUGCAUUGGAAACUGGGAGACUUGAGUGCAGAAGAGGAGAGUGGAACUCCAUGUGUAGCGGUGAAAUGCGUAGGUAUAUGGAAGAACACCAGUGGCGAAAGCGGCUCUCUGGUCUGUAACUGACGCUGAGGUUCGAAAGCGUGGGUAGCAAACAGG
rnacentral:rRNA from 1 species